rnacentral:lncRNA from 1 species
UUUUUUUUUUUUUUUUUUUUGAGACGGAGUCUUGCUCUGUCAGGCUGGAGUGCAGUGGCGCAGUCUCGGCUCACUACAACCCCUGCCUCCCGGGUUCAAGUGAUUCUCCUGCCUCAGCCUCCCUAGUAGCUGGGACUACAGGUGCCACCACCAUGCCCUGCUAAUUUUUGUAUUUUUAGUAGAGAUGGGGUUUCACCAUGUUGGCCAGGAUGGUCUCGAUUUCUUGACCUUGUGAUCCGCCUGCCUCGGCCUCCCAAAGUGCUGGGAUUACAGGCAUGAGCCACCGUGCCCAGCCCAAUAACUGACAUUUCAUUUUCUGAAAACAAUAGACACUUGUGGAUUUCGGGGACUAGGGCUGGUUUGCUAAGGUGCCUUACAAUUUUCUUAACACUUUACACAUACAUACUUGAUUUGAGAGAUUUUGCAGAAUUCUUCAAACAUUGGGUUUGUCUCAUUUAAAGUAUCUGUUUAGGCUGGCUGUGGUGGCUCAUGUCUAAUCCCAGAAUUUUAGGUGGCUCAUGAGGCGGGAGGAUUGCUUGAGUCCAAGAGUUCAAAAUCAGCUUGGGCAACAUGGCAAAAUCCUGUCUUUACAACAAAAUAAAAAUAAAAUAUCAGUGGUAGUCCAAAGUAACAUUACUGCCCAAGCUAAGGCUAUCCUUGAGCCUGCCAAGAGCAGUAAUUAAAGGCCCUGUUGGUUCUUCUUGGGGAGCAUCCCUGUUCAUACCACUAAACUCUUUAUACCGAGAGAAGCUACAGAGCACUGGAAAGCUGGGGAUCCAUAUGCACAUGUUUUGGGUGGAGGGUUUGCUUUCUGAGGUUGUAACUGCAGUUUUCUUGGGCAUGUUUUUUAGACAUGAGGUUUGUUUUGCAUUCACAAUGUUGACACAUUCAGAGUAUAAUUCUUACAUAUUGAGAAAGUGUGUGAAGUUCAGGAGUGCUGUCUCCAGGACACAGGGCUAAUGAAUUUCGGAGGUUAUUUUGGGGUCAGAACCUUAAAGUAAAUCCAGCUGAGGGUUUCUUCUGCCCGAGAAUUGAAGCCUGGGAGAGGAAGUGUUUUCACACUCCAGGGGCCAAUUAGGGUGUGCGGAGCUCCCGGAGUUCAUUCCUGUCGCUACUCAAGUGUCUCUUCCCUUCAUCACCAGGGACGUUCCACUCUAGAAGUUACAUGUCAAAGGGAAAGCCUGGACCUCAAGCAUGUUAAGGUGUUUAACCUCUCGAAUAUGGGUUUUCCUUGUGAAUUGUGGGGAAGCAGCCUGCUUAUCUGAGCUAAUUAGAAUAUUUAUGUUUCCUUUGGAUUAUUUUAUCUGUUGAAUAUUAUGGCCCUUCAACUCUGGUUUCCUUUAUCAUUUUAUAAUUUUAUUGCCAGUGUCAGUGUGUAAGAUUUUAGUUUCUUUCACUUUGAAAAUGAAGGUUGUUAGAUAUGGUGGGAGUAAGGCAAGAACUUUCUGGAACUAAAAAUGUUUCUUGAGGCCAGAGAACAUCAAGAUACGAGAUGGGU